rnacentral:ncRNA from 1 species
CUCAAGGGGUUACGCGCGAGUACCUCGUGAGGCGACAGCCGAAACAUCGCGUCCUCGAUCCAUCAUCACUCAGGAGGACGUAUG